UACGUAGGGCGCAAGCGUUGUCCGGAAUUAUUGGGCGUAAAGAGCUCGUAGGCGGUUUGUCGCGUCUGCUGUGAAAACCUCAGGCUCAACCUGGGGCUUGCAGUGGAUACGGGCAGACUAGAGUGCGGUAGGGGUGACUGGAAUUCCUGGUGUAGCGGUGGAAUGCGCAGAUAUCAGGAGGAACACCGAUGGCGAAGGCAGGUCACUGGGCCGCAACUGACGCUGAGGAGCGAAAGCAUGGGGAGCGAACAGG
rnacentral:rRNA from 1 species